rnacentral:lncRNA from 1 species
GGUGUGGACUCUCUCCUAAGAGCCGAGGAUUGCCACUAUCCUGCAGCUAAUUAGCAUGGCUACACAGCCUCUGAGGUUAGCAAGGUAAUUAGUUUCAGAGUUUCAGGCUAGCAAGAACUGUUUAUUUAGCUUCGAGGGCUAUUAUGAUAUGAGACUACAAGACCCACAUCUUCAAUGACAUAUAUUCUCCCUGUGACAUGAGAUUGCACAAGUAAUGGAUGAACAAAGCAAUUUUAGAGCUGAGAGAAGACUUCCAUAUUGCUGUGUUGGACUACAGACCCACACUGGAAGGAAAAGUGUAGACCCUAGGACCCAGACCUGAACCAACACAGAAGAGAAGCAUACAGGUGCUGAUCACGGAGAGUUGCCUGCGGUCACCUGUACAUAAGCUCACUGUCAUUGACACCACUCUCAGAAUAGGAAUGGGCUCUGAUUAGUCCAUGAGUGAAAUCAUAUUGCCAUAGCCACGGUGACUGAUGGGAUUUUGUCAGCAUGCAUACCUGUGUCCCA